GAUGAAGAACGUAGCGAAAUGCGAUACGUAAUGUGAAUUGCAGAAUUCAGUGAAUCAUCGAAUCUUUGAACGCAUAUUGCGCUCUCUGGUAUUCCGGAGAGCAUGCUUGUUUGAGUAUCAGUAAACACCUCAACUUCCAUAUCUUUUUUGAAAUGGGAGUUGGACUUGAGUGAUCCCAACGCUUUUCCUCACCGAAAAGAGGCGGGUUACUUGAAAUGCAGGUGCAGCUGGACUUUUCUCUGAGCUAUAAGCAUAUCUAUUUAGUCUGCCUAAAAAACAGAUUAUUACCUUUGCUGCAGCUAACAUAAAGGAGAUUAGUUCUUGUGCUGACUGAUGCAGGAUUCACAAAGACAGGCUUCGGCCGACUUUGUAAACUCGAUCUCAAAUCAAGUAAGACUACCCGCUGAACUUAAGCAUAUCAAUAAGCGGAGGA
rnacentral:misc_RNA from 1 species